ACGAACGCUGGCGGUUAUGCUUAACCACAUGCAAUGUCGAACGAGAAGUCUUUUAUUUGAACCUUCGGGGGAUAUAAGAGACAGACAGUGGCGAACGGGUGAGUAACGCGUGGGCAACCUACCUAUCGGAGCGGGAUAGCCUCGAGAAAUCGGGAGUAAAACCCGCAUAACACGGAUAUAUCGCAUGAUGAAUCCGUCAAAACUCCGGUGCCGAUAGAUGGGCCCGCGUCUGAUUAGCUAGUUGGUAAGGUAAGGGCUUACCAAGGCAACGAUCAGUACCCGGUCUGAGAGGGCGAACGGCCACACUGGAACUGAGACACCGGUCCAGACCUCCUACGGGAGGCAGCAGUGGGGGAAUAUUGCGCAAAUGGGGGGCCAACCCCGACGCAAGCAAUUACCCG
rnacentral:rRNA from 1 species